rnacentral:lncRNA from 1 species
CCUUAAUGAGGACGUUGCAAAAAUUGAAAAAAAUAAUUGAAAUGGAAAUGGGAAAUAUUUUUGUAUGAUUUUCUCCAUUAAUUACAACAUUGGCCUUAAUCUACCAUAUAAUCGGAAUCCCCGGGCCUUGCUUCGGCUGACAGUGACUGGAUCGGUCCUUGACCCCCUGAUAUCUAGCUUGUAGCGUGUAGACUCAAGAAUCAUAGUCAAUGCCUUUAUCCCUAACUUUUGCUUGGAU